UAGGUUUUUUUAAAAAUAGAUAGGUUUACGCUUGACGACAAUCGUGUUUAAUAAAAACCAAUGAUGUGGUCUACGUUGGACUGCGCUUGCCUAGAAAAUGCCUAUUCC